AGAUCAGGAAAGCCACACC
rnacentral:rRNA from 1 species